UGUUGGCAUAUUUGACUUUGUAAAGAUGUUACUUUGUGCCUAAUAGCCUCUGUUGUGUUGCAAAAACCCGACUGAGUUUCCCUUGCCUCAGAUUGGUAUUUGA